GAGGAAUAUUGGUCAAUGGGCGAGAGCCUGAACCAGCCAAGUAGCGUGAAGGAUGACUGCCCUAUGGGUUGUAAACUUCUUUUAUAAGGGAAUAAAGUGGAGUAUGUAUACUCCUUUGUAUGUACCUUACGAAUAAGGAUCGGCUAACUCCGUGCCAGCAGCCGCGGUAAUACGGAGGAUCCGAGCGUUAUCCGGAUUUAUUGGGUUUAAAGGGAGCGUAGGCGGAUGUUUAAGUCAGUUGUGAAAGUUUAAGGCUCAACCUUGAAAUUGCAGUUGAUACUGGAUAUCUUGAGUACAUUGAAUGUGGGCGGAAUUCGUGGUGUAGCGGUGAAAUGCUUAGAUAUCACGAAGAACUCCAAUUGCGAAGGCAGCUUACUAAGCUACAACUGACACUGAAGCACGAAAGCGUGGGGAUCAAAC
rnacentral:rRNA from 1 species